UGACAAAGUUGAUUACCGAAUGCGGAAAGGCCACAUACAUUAUGUAAGCCAUAGCUCUUCUACCCAGUUCCAGUGUUAAACCUAAUUAGGCCUGUUGGAUACGUCACUAGUCCAAAUAUGUACUAGUGUUUAUGUUGGUUGGGGCUAGUGGAAACACGUGAUUGUGCUACUCAACAAACCAGGAAAUGGUUUGUUGAUUUUCGUUGAAAAAAAAACUUUAUUCCUCAUUAUUGUAUGGAUUACCCAAGGAGUAUGUAUCAACCUAACCUUGUAUGAUGAAUACGUGUGGAAUUUUGAUGGGAGACGGGGA
rnacentral:sRNA from 2 species